rnacentral:rRNA from 1 species
GACGAACGCUGGCGGCGUGCUUAACACAUGCAAGUCGAACGGAAAGGCCCUGCUUUUGUGGGGUGCUCGAGUGGCGAACGGGUGAGUAACACGUGAGUAACCUGCCCUUGACUUUGGGAUAACUUCAGGAAACUGGGGCUAAUACCGGAUAGGAGCUCCUGCUGCAUGGUGGGGGUUGGAAAGUUUCGGCGGUUGGGGAUGGACUCGCGGCUUAUGAGCUUGUUGGUGGGGUAGUGGCUUACAAAGGCUUUGACGGGUAGCCGGCCUGAGAGGGUGACCGGGCACAUUGGUCCUGAGGUACGGCCCAGUAUCGUACGGGAGGCAGCAGUGGGAAGUAUUGCACAAUGGGCGGAAGCCUGAUGCAGCAACGCCGCGUGCGGGAUGCCGGCCUUCGGGUUGUAAACCGCUUUCGCCUGUGACGAAGCGGGAUUGACGGUAAUGGGUAAAGAAGCACCGGCUAACUACGUG